AUUGUAUGGAAGUUACCCAGUACACCUGCUUGCCAGUCCAGUUGUAUAAGUGCAUGAAUAACAUAAUCGCAUUGAGCAAGAUAUGCUUAUGUCAAUACGGUCCGCAUAUGAAGGAUCAUCUGGACUCACACACGCCUUCGUUGAGAACCUCAAACUGAUAGUUGACACAUUUGAGGGCGGCCAUAGAACACAGCUCCAUGCUGCGGGUCCUCUGGGCCCGGGUCAGCUUCACACAGAACAUGUUGGCUUCACCUCUGGGGCAGUCCCGGGCAGCUUUGCACACGCACUUCUUGGAUGCUGAGAGCAGACGAGAGUUAACGUUAGGAUUUUGUUAUGAAUGUGAAAACUAUAAUACUCUGAUGAAUGAAGAAUCCAGUGACUGCAAGUUGAAAAUAAAACCUAAAAAGUGUAAAGGGAUGAAGCAAUUCCAGCUAGUUUUGGUUUUAAAGGAGCAUUUUAUUAUUUUUACACCGUUACUGUAUAUGGUCAACGAUAUAAUGAUAUAUAUAAAAACUCUGCUAAUUAGACUUUGAAAAGUUAACUAAAACAGACCAAUUUGCAUCCUUGAAGUGUCAUUUUCAUCGUCACAAACCUUUUUUUUCCAUGACUAAUGACGAAGCGGCAUCGAUAUUCAUUAAACACCAAUUUUAAGUAUAUUAAAAAGCAAUAGUUCAUAAAAAAUCACAACGAAUACUACUACAGCAGUAAAAAUAGUGACUAAAAAUCACUCUUAUGCUCAUAAGACAAGACUAAAAUGCAGAGACUUCUGGUCGAAUAUGCAAGGUUUUAAAAUUUCAACACAAAGAAAAUAGCAGAAUAAAGAAAUACAAAGCUUUACUCCGUCCAAAUCGUUUAAAGGAAUCAUUGCGAAAACACAGUGUGAAAGUGCUUCGUGUCAGACAAACUCACCGGAGCACGUCUCCCAUUCGUAACACGUGUCGAGUUCACAGGGCUCCUGAGUUGAGCUCUUGGAGGACAUGUUGGCCCUGAAGUUGGCCCACUCCAGUUUAGCCGAAUCCACGCCGUCGCACGAGUCCUCGCUGAUGAAGAAGAGCGGAUCGCUGUGGCAACGACCGGCAUGGAAGGAGCAGAGGGACAUCGCCACGGUGACACCGAGGUCGAUGUUCAGGAUGCAGAGAGUCUCGGCAGGGCUGUCGAGAACAGACUUUGCCCAGUUCUUGAAGACGGUUUUGUCUGGAGCGGGGCGCUCCCUCUCCCAGGCCAGGGCAGAUGCCUCUCUGGCUCGACCUCCUUUCACCAUGGAGAAAGACUUCUCUGCUGCCUGAAUGUAUGAGCCUGGACCAAAGGCAACACGGUGAAGAUAAGAUCAGUCAGACGGUGUGCUUCCUGUCAGUAUCAGUAACAAACCUUGAUAUUUCUGAGUCAUCCUGUUGUCGGAGCACCGGGUUACACUGCUGUGUUCUGUAUAGAGGAUGAUGGUCCAGGUGGUGUCUCGACCUAGACAGCCUUUGAUGUGCUCUUCUGUUUCACCUGAGAUGACGCAGGAACAAAGGAACUGACAUUAAAACACCGUAGCACUGUAUGCGUGGUAUACAGUUGGUUUUUGUAGUGAACAUAGGUACAUUUAUACUAAAAGUACAUUGUUAGGCCGAUUUUAGUAAUGAUAAAAUAGUAUAUUGUCUUUUAAUUUGUGUCUCCUUUGAUGAAUGUUAAAGAUAUACAAUCAAUCUUAAAA